rnacentral:rRNA from 1 species
UACGUAGGGGGCUAGCGUUGUCCGGAAUCAUUGGGCGUAAAGAGCGUGUAGGCGGCCAGGUAGGUCCGUUGUGAAAACUGGAGGCUUAACCUCCAGCUGUCGAUGGAAACCAUCUGGCUAGAGUCCGGAAGAGGAGAGUGGAAUUCCUGGUGUAGCGGUGAAAUGCGCAGAUAUCAGGAAGAACACCCGUGGCGAAGGCGGCUCUCUGGGACGGUACUGACGCUGAGACGCGAAAGCGUGGGAGCGAACAGG